GAUCCGUAACUUCGGGAAAAGGAUUGGCUCUGAGGGCUGGGCACGGGGGUCCCGGCCCCGAACCCGCCGGCUGCCGGCGGACUGCUCGAGCUGCUCCCGCGGCGAGAGCGGGCCGCCGCGUGCCGGCCGGGGACGGACCGGGAGCGGCCCCCCUCGCGGGGGGCCUUCCCGGGCGUCGAACAGCCGACUCAGAACUGGUAC
rnacentral:ncRNA from 1 species